UACAGAGGUCCCGAGCGUUGUUCGGAUUCACUGGGCGUAAAGGGUGCGUAGGUGGUUGGGUAAGUCUGAUGUGAAAUCUCCGGGCUCAACCCGGAAAUGGCAUUGGAUACUAUCUGGCUAGAGGUUUGGAGGGGGGACUGGAAUUCUCGGUGUAGCAGUGAAAUGCGUAGAUAUCGAGAGGAACACCGGUGGCGAAGGCGGUUCUCUGGGCCUUACCUGACACUGAGGAGCGAAAGCGUGGGGAGCGAACAGG
rnacentral:rRNA from 1 species